UCUGUGCUCUGCUGCCACCAUUUACUUUAAACCUCAAAUACUCAAAUGCUUGAGUCAGACUCCUUCAGAAAAAUCUGAGCACAUCCAGAAAGUAAGAUUUCUUUUCAUUGUCAGCAAAAUGAUUACAAAAUUUAACUGAAGACUGUUUUGUAAGACAACCAAAUGACCUUCAGGACCAACAAUGUAAUGAGUACACAUGAAGAUUCAUGAGUAUACAUCAGGUUAUGUUCUGACACAGGGUAUGAGUGCAACAUCAUUUUGAGCUUGAGACAUGCAUGGUCCUUCUGAGGCAACAAAGAAAGGACUCCUACAAAACUAUUUUCUACUUUCAUGUUUGCUCCAUAAGUAUUAAAUGUUGCAUUAGAUUAUUUUAUUGUUGUUGUUUUUCAGG